ACGUAGGGUGCGAGCGUUAAUCGGAAUUACUGGGCGUAAAGCGUGCGCAGGCGGUUUUGUAAGUCAGAUGUGAAAGCCCCGGGCUCAACCUGGGAACUGCGUUUGAAACUACAAGGCUAGAGUAUGGGAGAGGGGGGUAGAAUUCCACGUGUAGCAGUGAAAUGCGUAGAGAUGUGGAGGAAUACCAAUGGCGAAGGCAGCCCCCUGGCCUAAUACUGACGCUCAUGCACGAAAGCGUGGGGAGCAAACAG
rnacentral:rRNA from 1 species